rnacentral:rRNA from 1 species
GAGUUUGAUCAUGGCUCAGAUUGAACGCUGGCGGCAGGCCUAACACAUGCAAGUCGGGCGGUAGAGAGAAGCUUGCUUCUCUUGAGAGCGGCGGACGGGUGAGUAAUGCCUAGGAAUCUGCCUGGUAGUGGGGGAUAACGCUCGGAAACGGACGCUAAUACCGCAUACGUCCUACGGGAGAAAGCAGGGGACCUUCGGGCCUUGCGCUAUCAGAUGAGCCUAGGUCGGAUUAGCUAGUUGGUGAGGUAAUGGCUCACCAAGGCGACGAUCCGUAACUGGUCUGAGAGGAUGAUCAGUCACACUGGAACUGAGACACGGUCCAGACUCCUACGGGAGGCAGCAGUGGGGAAUAUUGGACAAUGGGCGAAAGCCUGAUCCAGCCAUGCCGCGUGUGUGAAGAAGGUCUUCGGAUUGUAAAGGCACUUUAAGUUGGGAGGAAGGGCAGGUAAAUUAAUACUUUGCUGUUUUGACGUUACGACGGAAUAAGCACCGGCUAACUCUGUGCCAGCC